GAUGAACGCUGGCGGCGUGCCUAAUACAUGCAAGUCGAGCGAACAGACGAGGAGCUUGCUCCUCUGACGUUAGCGGCGGACGGGUGAGUAACACGUGGAUAACCUACCUAUAAGACUGGGAUAACUUCGGGAAACCGGAGCUAAUACCGGAUAAUAUAUUGAACCGCAUGGUUCAAUAGUGAAAGACGGUUUUGCUGUCUCUUAUAGAUGGAUCCGCGCCGCAUUAGCUAGUUGGUAAGGUAACGGCUUACCAAGGCAACGAUGCAUAGCCGACCUGAGAGGGUGAUCGGCCACACUGGAACUGAGACACGGUCCAGACUCCUACGGGAGGCAGCAGUAGGGAAUCUUCCGCAAUGGGCGAAAGCCUGACGGAGCAACGCCGCGUGAGUGAUGAAGGUCUUCGGAUCGUAAAACUCUGUUAUUAGGGAAGAACAAAUGUGUAAGUAACUAUGCACGUCUUGACGGUACCUAAUCAGAAAGCCACGGCUAACUACGUG
rnacentral:rRNA from 1 species